rnacentral:lncRNA from 1 species
CAGGCCCCAUGCAAGUCCAAAAUUCAGCAGGAUAGUCAAGUAUUAAAGCUCCAAAAUGAACUCCUUUGACUCCAAGUCUCAUUUCCAGGUCACAUGGAUAUAAGAGGUGGGUUCUCUUGACCUUGAGCAGCUCUGAAAUUUUACAAAAUUUUCUGUUCUGCUUCUCUUCUAAACAUAAGUAAUUCCAAACCGUAUGUUUUGAAUACAUAAAACUCUAAGUUACUAUAUUUGUCAAUGUGUUUAUUGUUACCAGAGAACCUUAUAUUUUUAUACAGCUUUAUGUUGCUGUCUAGCAUCCAGUUUUUCAAUUUGAAGGGCUCCUUUGAUUAUUUAUUUCAGAGCAGGUCUAGUGGGAACAAACUCAGCUUUUGUUUAUUUGGAAAAAGCUUUACUUUCUCCUUCAUGUUUGAAGGUCAGUUUUGCUAGGCACAGUAUUGUUGGUGACAAUUUUUCUCUUUCAGGACUUGGAAUAUAUUGCCCCACCUCCUUCUGGCCUGGAAAGUUUCUGCUGAUAAAUUGGAUGAUAAUCUUAAGGAGGCCCUUCAUAUGCAGCAAAUUGUUUUGUCUUGCUGCUUCCAAGAUUAUCAUUUUUUCAGUUAGCUAGGAAAAGUAAUUUCAAGAGAUCUAUUGUACAAUAUGGAUCACAGCUAAUAACAAUAUAUUGUAUUUUUGAAAAUCAUUGACAGUAAAUUUUAAGGGUUCUCACCACACACACACAAAAUAAUAAAUAUAUGCACAUAUGGUAAUGCACAUAUUAAAAAACUCAAUUUAGCAAUUCCACAGUGUAUGCAUUUUUAAAACAUAAUGUUGCACAGAAUAAAUAUGUACCUUUUGUCAAUUAAAAAUAAAUUAAUUUUAAAAAUAAAAUAAAAACAAAAGUUACAAGUAAAAAAGAUUCUCUCAUUGUGAAUGAUGUUAGGCAGUUCAAUUAUAUUGUGUCAUCAUGUGGUUCUCUUUGGAUUUAUACUUGCUGAAUAUUCUAUUCCUAGUUACUUCAGUGUUUCUAUCAUGAAGAGAUAUUGAAUUUCUCACAUGUAUCUUUUGAAUUAGUUAAUAUGAUUAUGUAGUUGUUCUCAUCCAUUAUUCUAUUGAUGUGGAAUAUUACACUGAUUGAUUAUUUUCAUUUCUUGAACCUCUGUCGAAUCCUGGAAUAAAUCUCAGUUGGUCAUGGUAUAUAAUUCUUUUUACGAUUCUGCUAGAUUAUUUUCUAGUAUUUGUAGAGGAUUUUUCCACCUAUAUUCAUAAGGGAUGUUAGUGUGUAGUUUUAUAUUCUCAUGAUGUCUUUGUGUCUUCAUUUCUGGAAUGCAGUGAUUGAAGAAAUAUUUCUGUUGCUAGGAGAAAGGACCUUGAAACCUUGAAGUAUUCUGUGGUAUCCUGUGUGUACACAGUUCUUCUUCAAAGAGAACUUAGAGACAUUUACUUGGGUGACUUGACAUUAAAGGGAAGAGAUUGCCUAGAGCAGGGGGCAGCACACUGUGGACUGAGAACCAAAUCAAGCCAGGCAUCUGUUUUUGCAAAUAAAGUUUUAUUAGAAAACAGCAAUGUCCAUUCAUUUACACAUUGUCUAUGGCUGAUUUCAUGCUACAAUUGCAGAGUCCAUAAUUGCAACUAAGAUGUUAUGAUUUGCAAAACCUAAAGUACUCACCAAUUAACAUUUUAUAAAAUAUGUUUGCUGACCCUUGACAUUUGAGGACAGUUGGACAUGGGUCUAAGGUGACAUUGAUACCCAAAGAGCCAAAGCAUCAUCAUGGCCCCCUGAUAAAGUGGGAGCUUAUAGGGUUAUGUAAUAAUUAGUGUCCUGGGUGAAUUCAGUUAAAUUCUGCAGACCAACCCAGCAGUUCUCUUCCCAGUCCCUGAAUGGAUAAUUCGAUUAAUAUACUUGACCAUUGGGGUAGCUCCUGCAUUGGGCCCUUUGCCUGUCAAGUAAGAAGGACAUGUGAAACCACCUGAAACUGCCACCCAAGUCACCUACAUAGCAAAUCAAUAACAAUAUCGCAUGCUCAUAGGGGGCUGGAGUUGUGUUGAAGAGAUGAGUGUCAUUUUAAAAGUCCUUAAGCUUGUGGUGGGAUACGGAGUGGUGGGGGUUUUUAUCAUUUUCUUUUAACUCCUCAGUGCAGCCUCUUUAGUAGCAAGCUGUAUCCUGAAGGAGAACUGGAGAUUACCUCAACCAACCAAGUUGCCACUCUGAUGGCAGCUUCAGCUCCAGACACAGAGUUGUUUUUAGAAUUGAUUCCAACAGCCAAUUGGGCACAUGGUGCACAACCCUGAAUUGUUGGAUAUACUCUUCUCUUCUGAUCAGAACAGAAGUCUUAUUGGAAUUCAUGUGGAAAGGACAAUAGUUACUACUAGUCUUGCCCUAGAAUUAUGUUUACUCUACUUGGCCCUGUUAUAUAAGGGAACAAAGCCAUCUGGUGCAUCUGCAGAACACUAUGCUGAUCUACUUUGUCGAGACGUCAUGCUGAUUGGGUUGGAUAAGCAAGAAGCCAUGGAGGUCUUGGGAAGAUACAUGCACUCCAGAGGGUGGAUGCAGGAGCUAAACUCUGAGAAGAUUCAGGGACUUGUCACUUCAAUAAAGUUUUGAGGUGUUUAGAAGUCAGAGGAUUUGUAGAAUGUUUCUUACAGAGUUCAAGCAAAUUGUUGUUGCAUCUUGCAUCUCCUGCCACAAAGAAGGAAGUUGAUCACCUGGAUAGGUCCUUUGGGAUCUGGAGAUGACACCUUCUACAUCAGAUGACUUAGACCAUGGGCAGCUAGGAACAGGUCCUUGGGACAGGAAAGGGCUCUGCAGUAGGUUCACUCUGUAGUGGAUGCUUCCCUGCCACGUGGUCUGUGAAACCUACACUCCCCAUGGGGGUGUCAGUAGUAAGUGCACAUGCAAUGGGAGAAUCACAACACAGGCUCUUGGAAGAGAUGCAGUCCAUGCCAUCUGCAGCUGAAAAAUCCGCCCCCCCUUGGGACAUACUACCUGGCAUAGUACUGGACCCAGACUGGGCUGGCCUGUGGCUUGCUUUAUCUGAUAGGAUGUGCUGGAGAGGUGUGUGAGCUGGAGGCCUCGAAGGCCUUGCAGCUUCUGCUUAGAACCUCUUACAACGCCAACAUCAACUCCCCAUCAGCCUCCUGGGAAGAAGCCCAGUAACCCCAAUGGAAGCAUGAGAGGCCCUAGGAGAAGAAUUAAGAUGCCAUCGCCAACAGCUGGCACCAGCAUUCCAGAGUCUGAAUGAGGCCAGCUUGGAUCCCAAUCAGCUGCAUGAGUGACCCCAGGAGAGAUAAAAUGUUCUACAGGAAUCAAAGCUUGUCAUUCACUCAGGCCCUCACUUGGUGGCAGUAUGUUAGAGAAGACUGCUUGUUCCAGAGCCUGGUUCUCAGCUUUGCAAUCUACAGAUGGUUCAUUCUAGCCACGUGUGCAAGGAUGUGAUAUACUAGAGUGCACAUUGAUUACUUGAACUUCCUUGAAAUAUCAUUUUCAAGACAAGACUACUAAGGACUAAUCUUCAUCAUCAUCAUCAUCAUUAACAUAAUCACAGCUGACAUUUACUGAACAUUAGCAAUGUGGUAAGCACUGCAGUAGGAGUUUUCACGUGUCUACUCAUGUAAUCCUCAAUGCAACCUUAAAGAAGACUACAAUGCCAGCAUCUGGGAUAACUACUAGAAUGUUCUCUGCCAUCCACUAAGCAUUGAAUCCCUCCAGACACUGUUACAACAGUGUUUAUCUGCUGAUGAUAGCCAGACAUCAGUGUUAGACCUGGAGGAGGCCUGGGAGGAAUCCGGUCCACUUACUCCUUCAUUUCACAGAAGAAGAGCUGGAAUCCAGGGUAGCUGAGGUUACUCAGACCUGACGAAUGACUGGAAAGAUACAAAGACAUUUCACUUAAUGGCCGUGGACAGCAACCUCAUGAUGACAUCGCUCCAGCAUUUCUUUGUGAAAUGUGUUGCUCCCUGGGCCUGUCCCAUUAUCAGUGUUUGGGCCUGUAUCCUGGGACUCUACCAGCUUUACCAGUGACAGUUCCAUAUCCCAAAACACCCUUCGGUAGCAGGCAAACUGGCAUGGUUGGUCAGUCUACGAGACACAGUGAGAUGGCUUCAGUCUUUUCUCUGGAGCAUCUCUGGCUGGACUGGACGUUGUUAGUGUGAGACAUCAGGGGACUUGCAGCAUUCAGAGUGGGGUAUCGGAAGGCCCACAAAGGCCCACUCUCAGUUUAUAAGGUCACAUAGUUACAGAAGGAGCUCUCCAACCUGACUGCUAAAGCUGCAGCCAUAAAUCCUUGGAACCCCUUCCAGAGACUACUGGUAAUGAAGCUGUGAGCAGGCAUCCUCAGGAACCCCAGGGAAAUCAAGAUAAUGCAAGUACCAUUGCUCUCAUUUAUGGGUUUGUGAAUGCUGAGAUUAAGAAGGAAUCGUGAGUCUCUACAAGGUUGGAGACUGUAAUGUGCCCUGCCUGGCUGGCUCUGGCUUCACACUCUGCAUUGUGUGUGCAGGGAGCUUCUGGACACUCUGACGAGGAUCUGGUUACCUCUGCACAACACAGAAGACAGGUUGAGGAAGACGGAAAGCUGAGGGGCUUCUUCAGGGAAAAAUAAUCUCAGCGUAGCAUCCCUGUAAGCCUGUCUCCAUCUUACUUGAAGGGACUUGCUUGGAUUUCUCCAAAUCCAUCGUUUGUGUUGUGCCAGGCCAUGACUAUUUCUCUCUGUGAUAAAUACUUAAUGCAAAUGGCAAGCCAUCCUGAGGGAGGCUGGCAUCCGUACCUACUGAGAAGGCCAGCAAACAGUGUGUGAAGCACCGACGUCAAAGGCCAUUAAUGCAAAUGCAAAUUGACAUUUUUCAUCAAGGUCUAACAGUACACCAACAGGUAGGCCAACCACUGUGCUGCCUGUUUACAGAAACACGUUGCUAAUCAGUCAGCACAAUCCACUCAAUACCAGUGUUCCUCCACAUUUGCUUCUUAAGCUUUUUGAGAGCAUUAAAUUAGUUUCAAUUAGUAAAGCUAAUGUGUGCAGAAAUAUUGAACAUUUUAAUUUAAUGGAAAACACCCUGCUGGGUGAGAAAUAUCAUUUCUAUCUGGAGCCCAUUUUUGUAGCACAAGCCGCUGGCUGCAUAUCUUGAAAGGUUAACCACAGGUUCAUUACAGUCCAAAACACUGAUGUUGACAUUGUUUUGCAUUUCUUACAGAUCAUUAAAAAGCUCGAUAUUCAUUUCUUCAGUGAUGAGGUUCAUCUGGAAGUUAAGGAUUUAAUUUGUGGUUUUGAAUUUUACCUUUUUCCUGUUAGAGCACAAAAGAAAAACUAUUGCAUCACGAAAGUUCUCUAUCAUGUGAAUCGUUUCCAUACACAUACAACAGUGAAAUAUUGCCAAGCAGCAAUAAUGAAACAGUCACCCUUUUCCUCACGAUAGCCAUAUACAUUCUCAGCUCUCCAAUUCGUUGCCACCAUUAGCUCUGUUUUAUUUAUUGUGCCUGAAGCCUGAUUUCCAAUGGGAGGCCUUGUAUAAUGGAAUGCCAGUAGACUUCUAGCUCCCUGUGAUUUAGAUGCCAGCUUUAUGCUCCAUAAUAAAACGAGAGAACUAGACACACAUGAGAAAAUACAUUUUAUCUACUGGCUGAUGUUCAUAUGUUGAAUGUUAGAAGGACUUUGGUUUUCAGCCAUCACUAAAUUUCACAGAGUUGCUGACAUAAUUUCACACCUUCCUGUGGGCCAUAAUAAUGACAGGAGAAUUUUAAAUGUGGGAUUUGACAUGGAGAAAUACAUGUAAAGUUUACUACAGCCACCAAAGAAUGUUAUCUCAGUGAUCAAAUACAAAACAAAAAUUAAAUACAGCAUUAUACAGAAGUAGUUAUUUAUCCUCACCCAUCAUAUUGUGAAGGAAAUUACUGCAUCAAUAAAAAUGAAACAAAAAAUAGUCUGGUGUUAUAGCUGA